UACAUAGGACACGAACCUGAAGAUGGACUCCCUGGCCAUGGUUCAAGCACUCCUCGAGACUGUCACUAUGGCACAGCAAGCCCGAAAGAAAAAGCUUGGCAGGAGCAGAAGCUACAUAAAGUGUCUGCUUGAACAUUCCACAGCAGCAGACUUCCUUUAUUUCUCAUCCAGUCCCUGUGAGAGCAAUCUAAAAUCUGUUUCCAGUGGUUGACUUGCAAUAUGAGUGAAGACGAAGAAAUGGCAUCCCUGGAAGUGAAUACAUAUUAAUAAAGCUGACAAUCUCGCAUGAAUUUCCAAA